rnacentral:rRNA from 1 species
CAUCAUGGCCCUUACGACCAGGGCUACACACGUGCUACAAUGGCGCAUACAAAGAGAAGCGACCUCGCGAGAGCAAGCGGACCUCAUAAAGUGCGUCGUAGUCCGGAUUGGAGUCUGCAACUCGACUCCAUGAAGUCGGAAUCGCUAGUAAUCGUGGAUCAGAAUGCCACGGUGAAUACGUUCCCGGGCCUUGUACACACCGCCCGUCACACCAUGGGAGUGGGUUGCAAAAGAAGUAGGUAGCUUAACCUUCGGGAGGGCGCUUACCACUUUGUGAUUCAUGACUGGGGUGAAGUCGUAACAAGGUAACCGUAGGGGAACCUGCGGUUGGAUCACCUCCUUACCUUAAAGAAGC